AUUGCAACUGGGCAGCAGCUAUAGCAAAAGAAGUUCUGACAUGGAUGAAAAGUUCGUCUGACAUUGUUGUAUUAUGGAAGAAAGAAAAUCACAACGUGUACUGAGCUCUUCUUCUGUUGGCAUCUCAGAAGGUGGUGAAGUUGUACAGGAAUAGCAAAUGCCACAGUGUGGUAACAGCAAAAAGUGAUUUCAUUUAUUUUUUCAUGCUGUUCAGUUCAUGAGGACCAGUUUCCAUCAGGCCUUUCUUCUCUGUGUCUCUGUAGGCAAACUUUAUGAUUCUGGAGCAGCAAAUUUCAGGGUGAAGUUCAUGAGAACUAGUGAAGAGAUGAACUUGAUCAAAGUUUCUGACUGUGGAAUAAUCCACAGAGGGAGUCAAGAAAGAGCCAAUGUCAGAUAACACUCCAGAAAUUUGCUGAUCCUGUUAUAUUUUUCAUAACUUUUUUAAAGAAUUCACAACUUUCCAAAAUUACAACUUGAUGAUUCAAAUAUGGCUGUACUUCAGAAAUGUCUUAUUAAUUUAUUUUCUUAUUAGACAGCACUUUUUGCUCUUUUUUGUUGGGGGUUAUUUUUGUCAGUGAGAUCCCUACAAUGGGUUACAGUCCCAUUGCUGAAGUUGCUAAAAUUGUAGUAAACUUUGCUAACAAAUUUAUGGAUCUCUUACAUCAAAAAAACCCCAAAAAACAACAAAACAACCAGACUCUAAAAACUACUAAAAGGGCAAAUUUUGGAAAGGCACUGUGCAGUUCCAACAUUUUCCCUCAAAUAAAACUGUUUCAGGAAGAAAUUCUGUAUAACAUUUAGUUUCUGUAGAAAUUCUGCCCAAAACCCCUAACAUUAACAUACCUAUAUAAUAUUCAUUGUCAAUCAAAAAAGGUCUCAUGUACAAAUCUGAGCUCAUUUUCCUUCAGCAUAUUUUUUUCCAGACUUAUGAGAAGAGGGAAGUAGGAGGGUCCUUGUCCUGGUUUAGGGCGAAUUUGGGAGAAAACCUCCAAAGGGGGCCCCUCCAGAAACAAACCCACACUGCCCUUCCCCCCAAUCGGUUUGGGAAGGAUUCCUCAGAGAGAAGUGGAAAGAACCUGUUUAUUUAACAGGCAAAGCACCCCCCAGCACACAAAGUGAAGAAUACCAGAUGACAACACUCUUUCACCGCUCUGAAGAGAUGACAAAUUCAGAAAGUCUCUCCUGCGAGAGGUCGCUCUGUUAUCGGUCCCUCCGGCGCUGGGAUGGCUGCUGCAGGCCACAAAGUGAAAACUCUCGGUGUUUCCCAGGUCCCAGUCCGGAGCAGGUUCAAAUGGUUCCAAGAAAAGGGAAAGAAAAACAGUCCAGGGAAAAUUUGGACUGCCUAGCUAAACUAACUAACAAGCAGAAGCAAAAGCAAGACCAAAGCAGGAGCAAGAGCAAAGCGAAAGCAAGUGCCAAAAAAUCAAAAGCCACCAUAUGUACUGCCCCAUCUCUGUGUCCCUCCAGCUGUGGGGGAUUGAGGAGGCUGAAAACAAAACUUUGCUUUUCAGAGCCGGUCCUGAAGGCACAGAACAUAAUAUUCAGCAUAAACAGAACAGACGACUGAGGAUACAAGUAUCAUAACCCUAGGACAGUCCUCAAGAGAUUUUUUUUUCCCCUUGUUUGACUGAACUUAGGAUCUUUAGGAAAGGGAAUAGUGUAUUCCAAGUGUGACUGUCUGGUGGGAGAACUUCCAACAUAUGUAUUAAUUAAUUUACUUUUUAUUUACUUAAAAAUGAAACUUAGGAACCAGUCACAGUCUGUUAAAUGGGACUGCAGUUACUGUCAUUUUAAAAUCUGUCAUUUUAAAAUAUAUGCACUCUGCACAUUGGCUACAGAAGAAGGAUCAAGGGUAUUUACUGAAUAUAAACAUUUAACUUUCUUAAUGCUCUCAAAUUGCAAUUCAUGUCACAAUAUUUUCCACAUUCCUAAGACAAUUGAGAAUAAACUAUACUAUAUAUGAGGAAAAAAAUCUAUGACCUUUUAAUAAGAAUAAACAUAAAUUUUGAGUGUUGUUUCCAUGUAAUCAAUUGAUUUAGCAUUGAGGGGUGUGGGUUUUUUUAUGUAUGCAUAUACAUAUGUAGCUGUGCUAUACUGGGUUGAUGUAAAAAAACUUAAUAGUAUUGAGUCAUUAGAGAGGCAGCCUAUGGCUCUUAAUUUAGCUCCCCAACUAUUAAAACGUCUGCUAUUUUUUAGGUGGUGUAUUUGAAGUUUUGCUCAGCAACUUCCAAUGAAACUUGCAUGGACUGAUAAGUUGUAGCAGUUAAAUGGGUUCAGUAUGUCCCUGUUGAUUGGUUAUUCAUUGUCAUUCAGUUGGUGCUUAACACAGGUUGAACAAAAUAAAAACAUAGAGUAUGGAUAUCCAGAGACAGAAAAUUAAUUUAUUUAAACUAAAAAAGACCAGUUCUGGCUUUUACCAUCUGAAUAUUUGGAGUGCCACCUUCUCUCUGUUUGCAUUUUUUGGUUCACAUAAUACACAGUAAUUUUAAAACAUGACUGUUUCUGCAAAAAGGUGUCUUUCUGCAUAAGAAACUAUUCAUAUUGUCCACAGAGCUGACAAGGGCCCACUUCAGGCUCCCAGCUUCUAAAGAUAUGAUUAUACAGAGGCAGAGGGUUCAGAAUACAGCAGAGAAUGAUCACAGUGGUCUGUGACUUACCUACGAGAAACGUAGGAGAACUUGGGUAGUUUGGUUGAAAGAGAAAGUUUAGGGGGUACACUAAAAGCCUUCAGAAGUAUGUAAAAGCACAUUACAAAGAAGACGCAAAUGAAUAAAAGGUCAAAAUUUGGAUUAACAAAAAGCAGAGUUUGCUGUCAUAUAAAUUCUUUAUUUGCAGAAGGAUCUCAACUAGUCUGUUUGUGUUGGAACACCUGUACAGUCAACUUUAGAGAGUUCUGUGUUGCACUGGGAGUUAUACAGUGUGAGAAUCAGUAUCAAACACUCUGACAUUGCAUGCUUUGAGUAGUACGUACUUAGGGCCAUUGCGAUUAUGAAAAUUUUGUGUGCAGUCUAUAAAGUGGAAUAUACUCACAUUAAAAAGUUACUUAAAUAAUUUUGAAUGCUAAUCUGUUCAAGAAUCAAUUCUGAACUAAAACUUAUUAUCUAGAAGGCUAAUAAGUUUCUCUCCUAACAUCUAUUUUCUUAACUUACUAGGAUAGUAAUCUGAUUUUUUUAACGGGUGAAGUCACUUCAGGAAGAAGAGGGAAACUGAAAGCUCUACCAACAAAGGGCAUAAACUGGAAACAAUGGGCAACUGGAAACAUACAGAAGAAGAUGCACACAGGAGACAACAGAAAACAACCACACUUUUAAAAAUUAUGAGGGAAAAGAGGGGGGAAAAUCUCUAUAAAGAACUAUGGAGACAUGGGCCAGAUCUUAUUGUACAUGUCCAGGUGUACAACAGGGCUUUAACAGCUGUGGAAGGCUCCAAUACUGAACUACCUGCUUUUAAGUUCUUUCUCUCAAGUCAAGUUCUGUUUGCACCUAUUGAGGACUUGAGCCUAAGUCUGUAAUAUUACCUGCUGCUUGGAGUCUGACUCCCUUAAGUGAAAGAAAAGCUGUAAGGAACCAUUUCUAUGUAGUGACUGGGCAGAACCUUAUCAGUUUUCUCCAGAGAGCUUCUAGCACAUUCUACCUGUAUUUCUGAAACAGAAUAUGGUUUCCCCAAAUGCUUUUAACUUUUCUUAUUGCUACCAGAGCCACCCAAAGAAUUUGAAUUUGAACAACAACUUUGCCCUAUAAUUCUUGCGUGGAAGAGACAAUGAAGAGCUAUCAUAAUUUCUCUGUCACAGUCAUGAUUUUAUGGGCCACUACUAUUACCCUUCUUGGCUGUCAUUUUUCCUUGUCUGUGGGCCUCACACAAUAUCCACUGCUUUCUGGGUGAAAUAUCCUUGUCUGUGAGCCAAAGUGCAGAAUACCUGCAUCACAUAGUCACAGGCUUGUGAAGUGGCCUGUGGCACAUACUCUGAUAUACACCUGGAGUUUAUAUUUGACAGUGAUGUGUAUAGAGGCCUGAUUAAGAUAGGGGGGAAGCUGACUAAACAAACACAGAGUCAAUUAAUUGAUCUGUAUAUAAUUUUUUGUGUUACUGGAAAGCCUCAUAGAAAAAAAAAACUCAGUGUAGGACUGCCAUUCCUGACCAUCAGGCCGUCAGAAAGAAUAGUACACUGAAAAGUUUAUUAUAAAAAAACUAGCAUACACUAAAAUAUACACAAGCACUUAGCGUAGGAAAAGCCCUGGCAAGAAUCCUAAAAAUGUGUUUAUGGAAUCAUUACAAUAGUGAAAAUGUCACUGAAUAUAUAGUUAAACCAGUGAGUAUUUAGAAGAGAGAAAAAUACUUGAACUUAUGUACAUUGGGGUUAUUUGCAGAGCUUCUAUCACAGCUGCAGUGCAAGUACACCUAGCUAUGAGUAUUCACUGCUGAGUCCGAACCACAGAACUGAGCAUGUAGGAAAAUUGUAUUUAAGGGCAAUAUUAAGAUUGUUAGUAAGGGAGAUGAUGUAAUAUUGUGGCAUAGUUGCAAAAUAAAUAGUGGUUUACACUUCUCUGUGAGUACCCUGGCUUCUCAGUGGGCCUUGCUCUGGACAGAACCAUGUGUCCUGGUUGCUGUGGGAUAACAGGGGAGCCUUUCCCAGCUGUAUUGGCUUGUCUACUUGGGCACCUGUAAGAUCCCUCGCUGUGGGGAAGGUAGGUCUGUCACUAAGAUUCAUCUCAGGGGACUUGGAAAUGUUACUUGUUUUAUCCUUUUCACUUGUGUUAGGAAGACAGUAGAAAGAGUAAGAUGCUCAUAUGUCUAGAUCUGUCUUGUUCCUUCAUCCUUCCUUGCCUGCACUGAAAUCCCUUCCAUGUCAGAGAUUCCAUGUCUAUUUAAAUCUCUGAGAGCCUGCUGCCCUUAUCUACACUAAGCUGCAAUUUUCUAGCCCCAACAAAACAAAUGGUUGUAAAUGUUAGAAGGAAAAGACGACUUCUUUCUUGUGUCUGAAUGCCACAGAUGCCACCAAGUGAAGGCAUCAAGCUGAUCCUUCUUGCAGAAGGACUAACUAGGCACUCUGUGUCUUCUGGGUAAGAAAUAGAAAUACUCUGCAUAUACUCUUUUCCUUGUUGGUCUAAAAUAGGCCAUAAAGAAAGAUAUUCCAGGCACAGUGUUUAUAAAAACCUGGAGAGGACUGAGUGACACGUCAAUCUUUAGAUGGUUCUUGAAAGCUGAUAUCUGGCACAGUCAAGGUAAAUUUGAAUUACAUAUUGACUGUAGCUGAAACUCUGUGCUACAUGUGCUAGGGGCAGACAGGUGAUAGAAGGCAUGUGUGGUUAGUCUGAGGAAAUGAAAAUACGUUUCAGACAUGUGAUUCCUUUUGCCCCCUUUCUGUGAAAUGGGUUGAACAAACUGAAAUUUCUUUGUCUUGUGUGAUAGAAUUGUAAUACAGUGGUGGAUGUGGAAGAGGUCUUUCUCUGGGAAGUUUCUGUUGUCUUGAUAGCUGGAUAUUAAUAUAGGCUGUUAUCAUGCAUAAUAAACCAUCUGUGAGUGAAAAUAUCUGUGAUGUUAAUUCCAAAUUAUAUAUACAGGAGUGGCAUGGUAGGUGCCACUCCAUGAUGGAGAAGUCAUUGUCUGGGUUGUUUUGUGAUCAUCUCCAAAAGUUGUGCUUUUUCUUACGAGAGAAAAUCCUGUGCAUUCUUACAUAAUAAAAAGGUAAUCUUGUGAGUUGUCGUCUAACUCAGGUUUUGAAGAUAUGCUUGUAAGCAAGAAAAGAGUGAGGAAAAGCAAUCUUUUUUCUGAAGUGACAAGUGACAACACCCCUUUUUUUUUUAAGUCCACUUUCCCAUGCAUCUCUUGUCCAAGUGGCCUUACACUUUCCCAAAAUAAUUUCCUCUGGCUACAGACCAAACACAAGAACUUAAGGCAAAAAAAUGUUUCUUAAAAAAAUGUCUGAAAGGGUAUCUGUUGCAUGAUAAAAAUGGAAUUGUAUUUAAUGAUGUUGAUUUAGUACUUAGGGCUAAUAAUUAUGUGUUAAAAUCAGAUUCUGAUUUUUAUAUGGGUGCUACAGAUUUUUCUUCUAUCUAGAAGUGUACAUACAAUAUGAAGGAAAUAGCAGAUGGAAAGACCUCAGUGGUAUGUCAGACUUGUUCCCAGCCAUAUUCUAGCAGUGCUCCAUUCUGUCACCAU